CUGGCAUUGGAGUUUCUUUUUCCAUGUGUGUAAAGAAGCCAGGAUCAAAUCCCAGUUUUACCACUGUGGUAAAAGUGUGUGGUGUUGCUAUCAAGACAGAGACAAGGCGAUAUGUCCAGCUUUCAGAGGGGGAUUCUCCCAUGCUGGAAUCCCAUCGUGGGACUAGAGCAAGUCUGGCACAGUUGUGGUAGCAGGAGUGACAAGCUUCUAGAAGCUCCCCCUGUGUCCAACAGAGCCAGUUCCAGAUGGCUCCAGGAUGGACUUGCCACUGGCCAAGGCUGAGCCCAUCAGGGAUAGUGCUGGCACCUCUGGGAUAACAGAUUUAAGAAGAGGGAAACACCCACAACUGCACAAUGAUAGCUGAAGACAGAAGUUCAGUGUCUGAAAACCAAUAAAUAUUUAGGAAAAUACCCGUCUCCAAGGAACUAGGAGGUAUGUGAACUGUGUCAAUCUUUGAUGCACUGAGUAAAUAAAUCUUUAGAAUUAACCAUGAGAUUUCUGUCCACACUUUCCUGUUUCACUGAGUCUUGUCUAAGACACCAUUACUGAAGCAUGUCCUUCUGUAAUUUGCAUUGCCUUUUUAUCUAUAUCUAGAUGGUCAAUGCUUGUGUUCACCCAUGCAGGGACUUCUGUGUCCAGUAGGUUCUUGCACCUCAGGAAAAUAAAAUACUGUUGGACUCUGGAAGCUUUGGAGAGUUUAACUGCUGUGCUUUGAAAUGCACCUCCAUCUGUCCACCUGAAUUUCUGCUCUUGCUUCACCCAUAGUAAAAGCAGCACAGGAAAACCCUCUCUUUCCUUAACUUCUCAGGUUUGAGCUCCAAGAUAAUAAACUUAAACUUCUCAGCUAGGUCAGUAUUUUCUAAGUACAAACUACUGCCUGUUAUUUCUGUUGCACAGAUAAGCACAGGCACAAAAAUCCUGAUUUACAGGAGUCAAAAUUCCAGCACAGCUCAGCAAAAACACUGCAGUGCCUAAAUGAAUGCCACUGGUUUGGCAAAGGUAAUAUUAACUGCAAGUGAUUUGAGUUUUCUGUGUAUUUGGAAAUACAAAAUUAUCCCUUCAACUUAGCUUAAAUAUUUUGCAGGGGGGGGUUGGGGUUUUUUUGGUUUUGUUUGUUUGUUUGUUUGUUUGUCGUUUUUGGGGUGGUUUUUUUUGUUUGUUUUCAAGUAAAACCAAAAAUUUCUUAUGGCUGUUUCACUAGUAUGCAGCAGGAUCCGUAACAAUUCAGAACCUGACACAAGAAGAUGAAAGGCACAUUUUAGCUAUGAUGUUUUCAUAUCCUUUUCUUUUUUCCUGUUGUUCAUUUGUUUUCAGUGUACAAACAAUUUUUUCAGGGGGAGAUGUUGAAAUGUUGGUAUCCCUUGCCUAAUUUGAUGUACAACAGAGCACUGCAUUUACUCUACAUGGUAUCGGAAAUACUGUUUUAUUUUACUGUUUUAAACUUUGUCAAGCUCUCUGGAAAAUGAUGAUGCUCUCUAUCUUUUAGUACUACUCACUUAGCUGCUGCUGGAGGCUGCUCCUUGAUGCUGUAUCUGAACUUUCUGACUCUUUUUUUCACUCCUCUGGCAUCCUCAGUGAGGAGCAAAUCAUCAGAAGCCAUGGUUUUGCAGUGUACCAAGAGCCUGAAUCUAGCUCCACAGCUCCCUUCUGCCACAGCCCCAAGGCAGAAGAGCAGGAAGAGGGAUUUCUGUAAAAUUCUUCAGGUCUUGGAACAGGAACCAUCCUCUUGAAGUGUCCAUCCCUGUUUAUUUUCCAAGAUUCAGAGUUUCAGAGGGAAAGGAAGGCUGUGCUUGUAUUUACAAAGCUUUGGUUGUUAUUUUGAAGACAUUCAGUAGCCCAUGGAAAAUGCUGCUUAGCUCCAAAAAAUAGGAAAUUGGAAACUUCUUCCUUCAUAAAAGACAAGUUUUAACUCACUGUGGGCCUGAGCAAGUUGAAAGCAUUUGAUUUUUAUUGAUCUUUAUUGAAAAGAUUAAAAGCACAUAGAGGGAAUGA